GCUACCAGGGAACUGAGACCGCGACAGUUGGUACUGAAACGCAGUGAAAAGUGGAAGUGUUUGUGCUCAGUUUUCUCAAUCCACCAAACACAAAAUUCAUUUUUUUUACUCAAAACUCAUUGAUCGCAUGUAAAACUUCAGCUGUCGGCUGGAAAAGGGGAAGCGUCGCGUCCUCCAAGGACCCUCCAGAUUAGAACUCCAAGGACUAGAGACGGCGUUUCUUGAACGCGGAUCGCGCAACAUCCACCAGUGCGCGGGAAAACUGGGCGUGAGAGGCGAUCGAUUGAGCAUCAGGGGCUUGCUGAAUCCCCACCCAUCGGCAUCCCGACGGUGUCACAAGCUGGGGCUGUCACACAGCCGUCGUCAUCGUCCUCUGUCAACAAGAUGCGCGAGCUGAAAAAGUGAUACUCUCAUCACCGGUGAUCGGAGGUGAUAAUUACCGCAGCCACCUGACUGCCAGCCCAUAAGGUUCUUGACUUUGGUUGGAGCAAACGGAGAGUACCAUCGGCAUUCCGUCGCCGUGUGGAUCACACAGUCCGCAUGUCAACAUCGUCAACUGAUGUCAUCGAGUUUUUUCCACGUUUUUUCGCCCGCGAGAGAUGCAUAAUUCGUGCCGUCUGAUCGCCGGAAUACGACAAAUGAAGCAGAAAAUCCCCUCUAAAAGCAUCAAACAGUCCGCAACUAAUUUCAUUGUAAUUAAGAAAUAGAUGCGCGUUGGAUGAUUAAUGGGACAAGGAAUUGAUUUCACAGUCACACACGAAGAUUUUAAAUGUUAAUUUAUCACAAAGACCGAUAUAAUUAGGCUACGAUUGUGUGAGAAAGUGACAUAAGACGGAUGGUCGUUGCGGUGAAUUGUUUAACAGUCACAAAAUUAAACGAGGAUGUUUUUCUCAAGAUUAUUAAAAAAAUAACGUCGCUUCACGUUAAUGCUCUACAUCUACCCUGUAGAUCCGAAUUUGUUUGAAAUCAGGCGACAAAUUCGGUUCUAGAGAGGUUUGUGUGGUGCAUACAUUGCAACGUGACUAAAAUAAAACCAAGUGUUAAUUUAGACUUAUCAUUUAAUAAUAGAUUGUCCUUAGACAUAAAUCAUAAUAAAAAAGAUUGUCACAAGCAAAAAACUUUUAUAUCAUGAAAUUUGAAUUAUAUGUUUUGUAUAACGAAAAUCAAGAAUAAAGUUAAACAGAAAA